CAGCCAACUAUGCUACCACAUGCUCCUUAAAUAAAAGGUCGUCUGCAUUAGAAGAUGCAUUAAGGCAUCAUAUGUACAACAGAACUGCUUUCAGUAUGACUGAUGUGUUACCAGGAAAUGCCUUGGUGAUCAAAAUCACACACAUCUCAUACAGCCAAGUACUGCAUCACAUGCUAAAAACCCCUUCCUGAAAUAAGGUGGCUGAUCGGAUGUACCUCACACCUCAGGAGCUGUGAUGGAGUACCAUGACUUUAAACAACUGAUGGUAGGAUGACUGCUAACUGAAAAGGAUUUUGAAGGACGUGGUUGUGACUCAAAUGAGGUAAUAUCCUGGUAUUUGCUUGUCAUGACUGAUGAAAUCCACAAAAGAACUUCAGUCAGGCUAGCCAGAGUGACCUGGCUGAGAUUCAAAUGAAACACCAGCUCAACAGAAGCCUAAGUGUUACCUUCAUGCCAACCUGCUUGGUGUAGUGCUGUAACAGUUCUGUUUUGUUUGUAAAGAUUCUGUAUUAUGAACGCAUAUUAUAUUUUUUAUAUACAUGUAUAUUCAUGAGGUCCAAGUAAGUAGUUAAUCGUCAUUAACUUAAACCCAAGAAUGUGAAUAUGGCAUAAAAUAUUCAUUUCAAAGUUUGUAAUAUCAUCUGAGACAUUUUUCAAUACAUACAACAAGCACACAUAUCCCUUCUGCUCCCUGGAUUUGCUUUCCUUGUAAAUAUUAAAAUGCAGCUAAAGACUUAAAGCAGGAUGAACACUUAAAUUAAGAUAUUAAGCUUACUCAUUUAAUUAAAAAAGUGGUAAUUAGGGUACAAAUCACAACCUAAAACUCUACUGCAAUACUUGCAUACUAUAUUAACAAGUAUGGCACCCACAUAUAUUGGCAAACAUAUGGAGAGUUCUCUGUUAGGUCAGCACUAGGGAACAGGAGAGAGAGAAAUUGAAAGAAACAUUCCAUCUUUAUAUAAAUUAUACUUGUAUUGUGAUUUAUCUAAAAAUUUAUUUAGAGGCCCCUCAACAUUAAAUUCCAUUACAAUUGUUUCAUCCACAAUGGAGCUGUUAUGUGCUUACAAAUGGAAAACAGAGAACACAAUGGAAACUCUUGUACUGUUGCUAAAAGCACCUACAAAAAUUCUUGGUUAUGGCUUAAUUUUGCUUAACAGCUCUUCAUGUCUGUUAUUAAUCUUCUGCCUCCUGUGCUCCAUGUAUGUCCUCCUUUAAAUACAAUAGUUAAUUAUGGGGC